rnacentral:rRNA from 1 species
UAACACAUGCAAGUCGAACGAGAAAGCUUUUUUCGAAGAGUGAGUACAGUGGCGAACGGGUGAGUAACACGUUGGUGACCUGCCCCGAGGUGGGGAAUAACUUGUGGGAAACCACGGCUAAUACCCCNGGAUGUUAAAGAGUUUAGACAUCUUUAACUAAAGUUCCGGCGCCUCGGGAGGGGCCUGCGGGCUAUCAGCUUGUUGGUGGGGUAACGGCCUACCAAGGCUAAGACGGCUAGGGGGCGUGAGAGCGCGACCCCCCACAAUGGAACUGAGAAACGGUCCAUACUCCUACGGGAGGCAGCAGUGAGGAAUAUUGCACAAUGGGGGAAACCCUGAUGCAGCAACGCCGCGUGAACGAUGAAGGCCUUCGGGUUGUAAAGUUCUUUUCUGGGGGACGAUAGUGACGGUACCUCAGGAAUAAGUCCCGGCUAACUACGUGCCAGCAGCCGCGGUAAAACGUAGGGGGCGAGCGUUAUCCGGAUUUAUUGGGCGUAAAGCGCAAGUAGGCAGCGUUGUAAGUUGGACGUGAAAGCUCCCGGCUCAACUGGGAGAGGUCGUUCAAAACUACAGUGCUCGAGGUUGGAAGAGGAGAGUAGAAUUCCCGGUGUAGUGGUGGAAUACGUAGAUAUCGGGAGGAAUACCAGUGGCGAAAGCGACUCUCUGGUCCACACCUGACGCUGAGGUGCGAAAGCGUGGGUAGCGAACGGGAUUAGAUACCCCGGUAGUCCACGCCGUAAACGAUGGAUACUAGGUGUAGGGGGUCACUGAAUCCCUCUGUGCCGUAGCAAACGCGUUAAGUAUCCCGCCUGGGGACUACGGCCGCAAGGUUAAAACUCAAAGGAAUUGACGGGGGCCCGCACAAGCAGCGGAGCGUGUGGUUUAAUUCGAUGAUACGCGAAGAACCUUACCUGGGCUGAACUACGUGGUAGUAGAAAAGCGAAAGCGGAUCGACCCUUCGGGGAGCCUCGAUAGGUGCUGCAUGGCUGUCGUCAGCUCGUGUCGUGAGAUGUUGGGUUAAGUCCCGCAACGAGCGCAACCCUUGUCGUUAGUUAUACGUGUCUAGCGAGACUGCCGGUAUCAAACCGGAGGAAGGUGGGGAUGACGUCAAGU